UGCCAGCCGCCGCGGUAAUACGGAGGGUGCAAGCGUUGUUCGGAAUUACUGGGCGUAAAGCGCGGGCAGGUGGUCCGUUAAGUCGUCUGUGAAAACCCGGGGCUCAACCCCGUGGAAUGCAGGCGAUACUGGCGGACUGGAGAUCGGUAGAGGCUAACGGAAUUCCUGGUGUAGCGGUGGAAUGCGUAGAUAUCAGGAGGAACACCGAUGGCGAAGGCAUCUCUCUGGGUCGAUAUUGACGCUGAGGCGCGAAGGCGUGGGUAGCGAACGGGAUUAGAUA
rnacentral:rRNA from 1 species